rnacentral:rRNA from 1 species
UACGGGGGGAGCAAGCGUUGUUCGGAUUUACUGGGCGUAAAGGGCGCGUAGGCGGCGUAACAAGUCACUUGUGAAAUCUCCGGGCUUAACCCGGAGCGGCCAAGUGAUACUGUUGUGCUAGAGUGCGGUAGGGGAGACUGGAAUUCCUGGUGUAGCGGUGAAAUGCGCAGAUAUCAGGAGGAACAGCCGGUGGCGAAGGCGGGUCUCUGGGCCGAUACUGACGCUGAGGAGCGAAAGCGUGGGGAGCGAACAGG